rnacentral:rRNA from 1 species
UACAGAGGUCUCAAGCGUUGUUCGGAUUCAUUGGGCGUAAAGGGUGCGUAGGUGGCGCGCUAAGUCAGGUGUGAAAUUUCGGAGCUUAACUCCGAAACUGCAUUUGAUACUGGUGUGCUUGAGGACUGGAGAGGAGACUGGAAUUCAUGGUGUAGCAGUGAAAUGCGUAGAGAUCAUGAGGAAGACCAGUGGCGAAGGCGGGUCUCUGGACAGUUCCUGACACUGAGGCACGAAGGCCAGGGGAGUAAACGGG